rnacentral:rRNA from 1 species
CUUCCGAUCUUCUUCGGAUUGUAAACUCCUGUCAUUGGGGAACAAUGCGUGAAUAUUAACUGUAUUUGCGUUGAUAGUACCCGAAGAGGAAGAGACGGCUAACUCUGUGCCAGCAGCCGCGGUAAUACAGAGGUCUCAAGCGUUGUUCGGAUUCAUUGGGCGUAAAGGGUGCGUAGGCGGCGCGGUAAGUCGGGUGUGAAAUCUCGGAGCUUAACUCCGAAACUGCAUUCGAUACUGCCGUGCUUGAGGACUGGAGAGGAGACUGGAAUUUACGGUGUAGCGGUGAAAUGCGUAGAUAUCGUAAGGAAGACCAGUGGCGAAGGCGGGUCUCUGGACAGUUCCUGACGCUGAGGCACGAAGGCCAGGGGAGCAAACGGGAUUAGAUACCCCGGUAGUCCUGGCAGUAAACGGUGCACGUUUGGUGUGGGAGGAUUCGACCCCUUCUGCGCCGGAGCUAACGCGUUAAACGUGCCGCCUGGGGAGUACGGUCGCAAGAUUAAAACUCAAAGAAAUUGACGGGGGCCCGCACAAGCGGUGGAGUAUGUGGCUUAAUUCGAUGCAACGCGAAGAACCUUACCUGGCCUUGACAUGCAUUUGGUAGAACCAUGAAAGUGGGACGACCCCGCAAGGGGAGGAUGCACAGGUGCUGCAUGGCUGUCGUCAGCUCGUGUCGUGAGAUGUUGGGUUAAGUCCCGCAACGAGCGCAACC